GAAUAAAGUGGCACACACAUGGCAGCUCCUUUAUUAGCUCUGCAGCACUAAGCUCCAUUGGUGCCUCCAAGCUGUGCCAGCAGCAUCAGGUCCAUCAGGAAAAGAAUACUAGACCAAGAGCCUUCUGCUGUAAGGGAACUCAGAGUCUGUUGAAGAAACAAAGCAACAGCAAUUACAUAGCUGUGGGUGUGAUGUGAAAAGUUGUUUCAAGUUCCUGCUGCCCUGACUUCACAGCUAUGGUGAACUAGAGCCUGGAAUUGUGAGCAAAAAGAAACCCUUUCUUCUGAAAAUUGCAUUUUGUCUUCAUGGUUUGUCAUAGAAAUGGAAAUGAAACCCCAGUGUGACUGCCCAGAACCCAUGGGAAAGACGACAUAGUAGAACAUAUCUGUAAGCUCAAUGCUCCUUUGUGGAGACAGGAGAUGAGAGACAAGAGAAUUCCCC
rnacentral:lncRNA from 1 species